AUGUUCACACAGCGGUAGUGUCUUCACUAGCAAGGUCAAUCCAAGGCAAGGUAUUUGCUCACUGAAAACUGUUCCAAUGUCUUUCCCUCAUGAGUAGAAAUACAGUCAGCACUGGCAAUUUUUGACAACCUCUAAGGAGA
rfam:Opisthocomus hoazin contig99127, whole genome shotgun sequence.